rnacentral:rRNA from 1 species
UACGGAGGAGGCAAGCGUUAUCCGGAAUUAUUGGGCGUAAAGCGUCCGCAGGUGGCUAUUCAAGUCUGCGGUCAAAGACUGGGGCUUAACCCUGGAAAGGCCGUGGAAACUGAAGAGCUAGAGUGCAGUAGGGGUAGAGGGAAUUCCCGGUGUAGCGGUGAAAUGCGUAGAGCUCGGGAAGAACAUCGGUGGCGAAAGCGCUCUGCUGGACCAUAACUGACACUGAUGGACGAAAGCUAGGGGAGCGAAAGGG